rnacentral:misc_RNA from 1 species
AACACUGUUAACCUGCGGUACCUGCGGAAGGAUCAUUACAGUAUUCUUUUGCCAGCGCUUAACUGCGCGGCGAAAAACCUUACACACAGUGUCUUUUUGAUACAGAACUCUUGCUUUGGUUUGGCCUAGAGAUAGGUUGGGCCAGAGGUUUAACAAAACACAAUUUAAUUAUUUUUACAGUUAGUCAAAUUUUGAAUUAAUCUUCAAAACUUUUAGCAACGGAUCUCAGAUCGGAAGAGC